UGCCCUCGUAGCGCAGCGGAAGCGCACCCGUCUCCGAAGCGGGAGGUCGGAGGUUCGAGUCCUCUCGGGGCAC
rnacentral:tRNA from 1 species